AGUUUGUGACUGACCCAGCAGCCCCGUCCCCCGUCUGCCACAAGCAGUCCACCUCCUGGUGCUGUGUGCUGCGUGCCAGCCGCUGCUCCCGCUGAGUGGAGACUCUGGCACCAGUGCCCACUGCGCUCUGCCUGCCGGUGGUGUCUGGAUUUCUAUAGGAAUCCCAGGAGGGUCUUACUGGAGGGUUGAGAGCCACCUGAUUGAAGGCGUUUGCAGUCAGAGUAAAGACGGCUGCCGCAGCAUGAACCCCUGAGCUGAUGAGUCUUAUUAUAGCCCGGCUGGCGGAAGACAGAGUGCUGCUAUUCACCUCUGCGUGGGCGUCGGUGGUGCAGGGGGAAGCAGCAGGCCAUCCAGCGGCUCACACCCUACGCGGCUGCAGCUGCCAAGGGCCUGGCCCCUGCCUCCCUCGGGCCAUGGUGAGCUGUGGCGGGGCUAGAGGAACCGGGACCCAGGAAUGCCCAGAUGGGAGACCAGGUUGCCAUGAAAACAUCUGAGUGAUCAACAUACUCGGGAGGCAACAAGAAGGCAGAUGAGGCUGGG
rnacentral:lncRNA from 1 species